rnacentral:rRNA from 1 species
GUGAGGAAUAUUGGUCAAUGGACAGAAGUCUGAACCAGCCAAGUAGCGUGCAGGAUGACGGCCCUAUGGGUUGUAAACUGCUUUUAUGCGGGGGUAAAGUGAGUGACGUGUCAUUCAUUGCAAGUACCGCAAGAAUAAGGACCGGCUAAUUCCGUGCCAGCAGCCGCGGUAAUACGGAAGGUCCUGGUGUUAUCCGGAUUUAUUGGGUUUAAAGGGAGCGUAGGCCGUCAGGCAAGCGUGUUGUGAAAUGUCGUGGCUCAACCAUGGACUUGCAGCGCGAACUGCCAGACUUGAGUGAGCGGAAAGCAGGCGGAAUUUGUGGUGUAGCGGUGAAAUGCUAAGAUAUCACGAAGAACCCCGAUUGCGAAGGCAGCCUGCUGUAGCGCUACUGACGCUGAAGCUCGAAAGUGCGGGUAUCGAACAGGAUUAGAAACCCCUGUAGUCC